rnacentral:rRNA from 1 species
CCUGAACGCUGGCGGCGUGGCUAAGACAUGCAAGUCGUACGGAUGUAGCAAUACAUCAGUGGCGAACGGGUGAGUAAUGAAUCGCUAAUGUACCCCGGACUCUGGGAUAGCUGCCCGAAAGGGCAGGUAAUACCAGAUGAUAUAUCUUUAUCGCAUGAUAGAGAUCUCAAAGGUCCGCCGGUCUGGGAGCAGGCGAUUUUGUAUCAGCUAGUUGGUGAGGUAACGGCUCACCAAGGCGAUGACGCAUAGCCGGACUGAGAGGUUGGCCGGCCACAUUGGGACUGAGACACUGCCCAGACUCCUACGGGGGGCUGCAGUAACGAAUCUUCCGCAAUGCACGAAAGUGUGACGGAGCGACGCCGCGU